rnacentral:rRNA from 1 species
CCUACGGGGCGCAGCAGUCGAGAAUCAUUCACAAUGGGGGAAACCCUGAUGGUGCGACGCCGCGUGGGUGAAUGAAGGUCUUCGGAUUGUAAACCCCUGUCAUGUGGGAGCAAAUUAAAAAGAUAGUACCACAAGAGGAAGAGACGGCUAACUCUGUGCCAGCAGCCGCGGUAAUACAGAGGUCUCAAGCGUUGUUAGGAAUCACUGGGCGUAAAGCGUGCGUAGGCUGUUUCGUAAGUCGUGUGUGAAAGGCGCGGGCUCAACCCGCGGACGGCACAUGAUACUGCGAGACUAGAGUAAGGGAGAGGGAACCGGAAUUCUCGGUGUAGCAGUGAAAUGCGUAGAGAUCGAGAGGAACACUCGUGGCGAAGGCGGGUUCCUGGACAUUAACUGACGCUGAGGCACGAAGGCCAGGGGAGCGAAAGGGAUUAGAUACCCGGGUAGUC